AGCGAUUUGAGUAACGAGAAUGA
rnacentral:siRNA from 1 species